CAACAAUCCUCACGUCGGCAAAUCCGGUGUCUACGGCUCUGAUGCAUCCUGGGUCGGCUGGUGGUCUUCCUCCACUUCCGUCGCUCCACCGGAGUUCGCCCCGUUGAUUCCCAAUAAGGCAUCACCCGACUUGUCGAGAUCUGAUUUCCAAAGCUACUUGUCGUCCAUUGCUGAGCCUUAUCACCGAUUUGAGGACGUUAGGAAUCACGCCAGCAAGGAGGAGAAUUUGGACUUAGAGAGCAUCGGCGGCCAAGGCGAGGCACUUGUGGCGUGUUUGCGAGAGGUACCCGCAUUGUAUUUUAAAGAAGAUUUCGCUUUGGAAGAUGGGCCCACCUUCCGC
rnacentral:misc_RNA from 1 species